UUUUAUGCUGAAAGUUCUGUAUAGACUACUGGCGCAGUGGUAUAAUACCAGUCUAGUGAUAAUAAGGUAGUGGGUUCAAACCUAGUCGAAGAAACUUUUUCAGCGGUUUUAUUGUAGGGAAAAGCUUGCCUAAAUUAUUUUUGACGGAUUUUAUAAAUCGGUUGCAUAACAGACCUAUUUUUUUUUGAAUUCUAAUGUUUCUUAUUGUACUUUGAAUUAGUAAUUAAUUUAAUUUUAAAAGAAUUAUUAAUUGCGAUGGCAACCCUGAUAUCUAUCAAUAUUAAACAAAUUUGCUAUCCAGCCAAAUAUAGUGUUACAGACGACGAUAAUUUUAGAUUUUCGUCUGCAAUUUGUAUCAAUACUACCCAACAACAACAAACUCAUUGUUGUGCUGUAAAAUUUUACAGAGUAUUGGCACAGUGGUAUAAUACAAGGCUACCGAUGUAGAGGUAUUGGGUUCAAACCUGAACGAAGAAUGUUUUUCAGCGAUUUUAUUGUUGGGAAAAGCUUGCUUAAAAGAUUUUUUACUGGAUUUUCUAAAUCAAUUGCAUAACAGAUUUAUAUUUUUUGAAUUCUAAUGUUUCUUAUUGUAAUUUGAAUUAGUAAUUAAUUUAAUUUUAAAAGAAUUAGUCAUUGCUGUGGCAACCCUGAUAUCAAUAGUAAACAAAUUUACUAUCCAGCCAAAUAUAGUGUUACAGACGACGAUAAUUUUAGAUUUUCGUCUGCAUUUUGUAUCGAUACUAACCAACAACAGUCAAUAUUUUUUAACUUACUCAUCAGUUACCAACUUGAUUGGCAACAAGGAUCUGUGUUCGAUCUCAAUAAAUAACAUAACUUUUUAUUGCACAUUAGUCUGGGAAAAUGGUGAUUUUACAGUGGUAAUCGUUGAUAAUUUGAAGACAGCAAUUGCAUGACAAUGGUUCAGAGUUCAACUCCAGCGAUGGGUAUGAAUCUAUUCUUAAUGUUUUGUUUUUGACAAUACGCCAUCUAUUGAGUAUCGGAAAAACUACUUGGAAAGUAUCGAUACAACGAUAUAUCUAAAAAUAUCGACUAUCUAACAUUUAUCUAAAAAUAUCGAUAUAUCGUUAAAAAAAUUAGAUAGUCGCCAACACUACACAUGGCUAAGAAACUGAAUUUUAGUUAUUAUAGCUGCAAUUACAACAAAAGAUGCUAGAGCGAUUAAUAUCACGUCAAUCAUUUGGACUAUUAUGUGAAAAACUUUUAUAUGAAUGAACUCUUAUUGGAUAGUAUUAAGGGUCCUGUUGAGCUGAGAAACGUUUAUUGGAAACUCGGAAUAAUAAACUAACCUGGUCCACCAAUGGCAAUCCAUGCUUGGUACAUUUUUAAAAUGUUUACCGAUCUCCCACCACCUAUGUUGCUUUCAAUGACAUGGGCACUUAAAUGAGUUGUACUUGGACCUAAAUCUGCUAGCAGAAAAAACUAGAAAGAAAAUUUUCAAAGGAAUUUAAUGUGAGGAACUAAAAAAACUGCACUUUAUCUCAUUGAAAUAAAAUGGAGGUCAGAGGAUGUGCGGAAUGAGUUUUGGUUCCUGUCACAUUUCUUUCCAACAUCUACUUUGUUAACUGGAGUACAUUUGAUUACUUUGGUAAUUCCCAAAGUUUUAUGCAUCAAGAGGCUGAAGGACUGCAGAAAUGAAGAAUUCUUCCUACCCUUGUGGCCUGUGCUAAAAUGAAGCACAACUGUAGUGUGUAUUUCUUCAAAGAACGAUAAAUACUUAUUACCUGCAACAAUGUUUAUAAUGACAUUUUCAUAAAACUUUGAAGUCUAGCAUUGUCAAUUGAUUCGUAGGUUGAAAUUCGGCUUAACGCGUAUUCUACAGUUAAGUACUGACAGGUGACAUGUAUAAAGUUGAAUUUAUGUGUGGUGAUGACACAAACUUAUGGAGAUUUGCUGGCAAAAAGUUGAUUCCUUCAACAGAAGUGAUUUUAAAACUCUCUGCUGCCAGUGUAUUUUUGUACCUCUUUCUGUUAAGGAACAACCAAUCUUAAUGUUGUUCUUUGAUGGAUCUGGAUUAUUGGCGAUAUUGAGAAGUAAUCCGUAACUUUCCCGUGCAUCACUUGCUGCAUCGCUAUUACGGCCAGUAAUGCAAUCCGACACCUGGAGCCAUGUACCAAGAAAUACGAAAGUCAUGUCCAUCAGCUCAAUCUGCCAAACCUAAAAAAAGCCGACGAUGUUAUGUGACUAAGCAAUCCAAGUAGCCGAAGAUGCUGCAAGCUACUUUAUCUUGUGUCCGGAGCAUUGUUUUCUAGUUAGGCCAAUGACACUGACGUAUGCGGAUAUCCUUAAGUACGAGAAUCUGGCGCCCGCUCGGACGUGAUAAGAUUGUGCUCAUGCUGGUAAGCGGCGGAGUGGAUUCCGCCAUUUGUGCUGCCCUUCUACAUAAAGCACUUAUACAGGGUGACGACUCUUCGAGAGUGCAGGCCAUCCAUAUCGAUAACGGUUUCCUGCGUAAAGACGAAUCCGAGCAGGUCGUCACUAGUUUACAGCAACUUGGGCUCAAUCUUCGGGUAAUUUGAGAUGCUUUUCUGGACCAUUCAGAAUCUUAUUAUUGGCCAAAAUUUCCAAAAUACGUCGUCCUGUCACAUCUCAAAUUCUACGGUUUAUAAUACUUGUUCUAUGACCGAGUUCUUUUACAGACAGUGGCUUCUCAUUUCUUCUUCAUACCAGCGAUCAGAUUUGAUAUUUCGAAUUGUUUUAUGUUGUUGAAGUAAGUUUGACUUUCCGCGAUACCUCCACCAACGUGCAUGGUCGCCAAACUUUGUCGUUGUGAUUGACAGUAAAGACUUAUCAUAACGAUUCCGAAAUUGUUCAUCAGUUGCGCCUUCACGGCCGUGUAGUAGAACCUCUGGAAGACUUCCAUAAAGAUGAAGUAAGAGCCUUAUGUCGCGAGCUGGAUCCGCCCGCAGAAUUACAGGAACGUCACCCGUUUCCUGGUCCCGGUUUGUCAAUUCGAAUCAUUUACGCCGAAGGACCGGUGCUGAUUCGUUUGAUGGUCCAUUAUGCCAACAUAGCAGCCAAGGAACAUGUCUUGCCCAAUCGGAUUGAAAUCGUGACGUCGGAAGAAGAGCGUCUUAUCUGGAAGAACUGUCCAGUCACAACCAGUAUGUUGCCACGCUACUGCCUAUUCGCACUGUCGGUGUUCAGGUACAGGAGGUUGCAGAAAAAUGUCUCGGGUAUGGAAAACAAAGCAUAGGGAAAACCGCCACAUUUUUCUGCAACAAUGCCUUUUGGCAUGCAGGAAGAAUAGCGGAGACGACUAUGAUAAAACGAAAUCAAAGUGGUUUUAUCACAACCACUUCAGAGAAAAGUUGGGCUUAUUUUUUAAAACUGAAUGGAAAACAUUUCUGCCGAUGGAUGGAUGUAUGUGAAUCAAAUCCCAUCAGAGGUAAAAAGUACACAAUAUGUUUGCUGAUUCACUUUAUUGACGUUAAUAGUUUACAAGCGUUUUGGUAAUUUACGUUGGGCUACUUUAAAUUAUCAUUACAAGUGUGAACAAGUUA